rnacentral:rRNA from 1 species
UAGGUGGCAAGCGUUGUCCGGAUUUACUGGGCGUAAAGAGCGCGCAGGCGGUCGUUCAAGUCGCGUGUGAAAGCCCCCGGCUCAACUGGGGAGGGUCACGCGAUACUGAUCGACUCGAAGGCAGGAGAGGGUAGUGGAAUUCCCGGUGUAGUGGUGAAAUGCGUAGAUAUCGGGAGGAACACCAGUGGCGAAGGCGACUACCUGGCCUGUUUCUUGACGCUGAGGCGCGAAAGCUAGGGGAGCAAACGGG